rnacentral:rRNA from 1 species
AACGAACGCUGGCGGCAGGCUUAACACAUGCAAGUCGAACGCCCCGCAAGGGGAGUGGCAGACGGGUGAGUAACGCGUGGGAAUCUACCCAGUUCUGCGGAACAACAGUUGGAAACGACUGCUAAUACCGCAUACGCCCUACGGGGGAAAGAUUUAUCGGAAUUGGAUGAGCCCGCGUUGGAUUAGCUAGUGGGUGGGGUAAUGGCCUACCAAGGCGACGAUCCAUAGCUGGUCUGAGAGGAUGAUCAGCCACACUGGGACUGAGACACGGCCCAGACUCCUACGGGAGGCAGCAGUGGGGAAUAUUGGACGAUGGGCGCAAGCCUGAUCCAGCCAUGCCGCGUGAGUUAUGAAGGCCUUAUGGUUGUAAAGCUCUUUCAGUAGGGAAGAUAAUGACGGUACCUACAGAAGAAGCCCCGGCUAACUUCGUGCCAGCAGCCGCCGUAAUAC